CUGAUGGACACCUCGUGCCUGCACAGCCGGGCCCACGCUGGAGCUGCCGGGAGAUGGAACGCGGGUCAGUGGCUGUCCCAGGCCCCUCCAGCUCCCCCAGCCGCACUCACUGUUGUCCUGCCUCUCCCCUCCCUGCUGCGAGACUGUUCUCACCUCUGCCUGUCAACACUUGGGCCACUGGCCAGAGCCGCUGGAGCCAUGCGGCCAUCGCCCCGACCCCCAAUGAUGGCCCAGACUUGAAUGGAACUUCUUUUGUGACGUACCCAGCAGGUCAACAGUGUCCAAGCAAGGACGGUCCCAGGAUCAUCCACAGAAGGAAACUGGCAGCAGGCCCUCCACACAUGACCAAGGAAUCUGCAGUCCGCUAAGCGGGGAGGGCGCUGCCCACGUCAAUCUACACAGAAAAGCACCCCUAGAGGAGCCAGCCUCAAAGGAAGCGCAGAGGAGGGAACGCGCCUGCACGAAGUCUCCUGGGAGAGCCUUCCCGAGGCGAAGACUAAGGCCAGAGCAGGGCCUUGCCACGCCCGGGGCACUCAGCGGGAGGAAACCUGGAGGUGCCAGGAAUCCUGGCUCACAAGGAAGAAUCCAGAAAGGCAGGCUUGGUGCUGGUGACGGCUGAACUGUGACCCUCCACCCGACCUGCAUCUGAAGCCCUAACCCCAGGACCUCAGAAUGUGACUGCUUUUGGAGAUGGGGUCUUUAAAGGGAUCAUUAAUGCCUGGGCGUGGUGGCUCAUGCCUGUAAUUCCAGCACUUCAGGAGGCCGAGGCAGGUGGAUCACCUGAGGUCAGGAGUUCGAGACCAGCCUGGGCAACAUGGUGAAACCCCGUCUCUACUAAAAAUACAAAAAUUAGCUGGGUGUAGUAGCAGGUACCUGUAAUCCCAGCUACUCGAGAGGCUGAGGCAGGAGAAUCACUUGAACCCGGGAGGUAGAGGUUGCAGUGAGCAGAGGCUGCGCCACUGCACUCCAGCUUGGGUGACAGAGGGAGACUCCAUCUCAAAAAAUAAAAUAAAGGGUCAUUAUAAAGGACAGUGAGGUCACGAGGGUGGGCCCUCAUCCGAUAUGACUUAUGUCCUUGUAAGAAAAGGCGAUCAGGACACAAACAUGUACAGAGGAAAGACGCAGGGAGAAGAUGGCCACGGGCAAGCCAAGGACAGAGGCCUCAGCAGGAACCAACCCUGCUGACCCCCAAUCUUGGCCUUCCAGCCCCCAGAACUGUGAGAACAAUCAGCUUCUGUUGAAGCUGCCCAGGUGAUGGUACUUUGUCGCUGUGGGUGAGGUGAGGCCCGAUGGAGAGGCUGUGGGCAGCCUCCAGGGGCCAGGGCCAGGGUUUGAUGCCCCUGAAUGCAGCGAUCCAUGGGGCCUUCUCCUGCCUCUGAGCCCCUCCCUCACCCCAGCCUUAGCCUCAUCCGGGGUUGCUGUUUCCCAUGGCCCCGUCCAGGCCACAACUCUCUGAAGGACACAAGCCUGUGACCUACUUCUUGGCAUGCCUGAGGCUGGGCACAGCAGACAGGCUAACUGCCCAGCCCCAGGCUCUGGUGGGAGCUGCCCCACUCCAGGUGUCAGUUUCCCAAGCUGAAAAUGCAGGACUUUGGAUGAGCUCCUAGCAGAGGAGAUACUCUUCUGAGAACCUCUGAGGUGAUGGGAUUCUGUGCCUCUGGGUCAGGGUUUUUGUUGUUGUUGUUGUUGUUUUGAGACGGAGUUUCGCUCUUGUCACCCAGGCUGGAGUGCAACGGCACAAUCUUGGCUCACUGCAACCUCCACCUCCCAGGUUCAAGCUAUUCUCCUGCCUCAGCCUCCCGAGUAGCUGGGAUUACAGGCGCCUGCUACCACGCUCAGCUAAUUUUGCAUUUUUUAGUAGAGACAGGGUUUCUCCAUGUUGAUCAGGCUGGUCUUGAACUCCCGAACUCAGGGGAUCCGCCCACCUCGGCCUCCCAAAGUGCUGGGAUUACAGGCCUGAGCCACCACGCCCAGCUGGUUUGUUUUUGUUUUUGUUUUUGAGACGGAGUUUCACUCUUGUUGCCCAGGAUGGAGUGCAAUGGUGCAAUCUUAGCUCACUGCAACCUCCGCCUCCCGGGUUCAAGCGAUUCUCUUGCCCCAGCCCCCCAGUAGCUGCGAUUACAGGCAUGCGCCACCACACCCAGCUGAUUUUGUAUUUUUAGUAGAGACGGGGUUUCUCCAUGUUGGCCAGGCUGGUCUCGAACUCCGGACCUCAGGUGAUCCGCCCACCUUGGCCUUCCAAAGUGCUGGGAUUACAGGCGUGAGCCACCGCGCGUGGGCCAGGCAUUCUUAACAAGGGGCCUGGUGAGGAUUCAGAACUGUGAAUUUGCUUGGAAUAAAAAAAUAUAUAUGUCU
rnacentral:lncRNA from 10 species